rnacentral:lncRNA from 1 species
GUGACACAAGUUGUCUUGCCCUCGUCCCCUUCGGCUAUGCGCACUUGAUAGUACCCCGAUCUUAGGUCAAGCUUUGUGUAAUACUUGGCCUUCCCUAAUUGAUCAAAAAGGUCAGCAAUAAGAGGAAUUGGAUACUUGUUUUUGAUUGUUACCUUAAUACUUAGCCUUCCCUAAUUGAUCAAAAAGGUCGGCAAUGAGAGGAAUUGGAUACUUGUUUUUGAUGGUUACCUUAUUGAGAGCCCGGUAGUCUAUGCAAAGUCGCUGCGAUCCGUCCUCCUUGCGUUGGAAUAACACCGGUGAACCAUACGGUGCCUUGGAAGGUUGGAUGAAGCCCAUCUCCAACAAUUCCGCCAACUGUCUCCGCAGCUCCUCUAAUUCUGGUGGCGCCAUCCGGUAGGGUGCUUUGGCUGGUGGCUUUGCCCCUGGCUCCAACUCGAUCUUGUGAUCCACCCCACGCCUGGG